rnacentral:ncRNA from 2 species
CUCUUAUCAAGAGCAGGUGGAGGGAAUGGCCCGAUGAAACCCAGCAACCGACCGUAAUACCAUUGUGAAAUGGGGCGCCCGCAAGAUAUGGGGAGCCGCUGGAUUUUUUUAUUAAAAUCAGCGUAUGGCACGGUGCUAAUUCCAGCAAAACUACUCGUUUUGCUAAGAUAAGAG